CCUACGGGGGGCUGCAGUGGGGAAUAUUGCACAAUGGGCGCAAGCCUGAUGCAGCCAUGCCGCGUGUGUGAAGAAGGCCUUCGGGUUGUAAAGCACUUUCAGCGGGGAGGAAGGCGGUGAGGUUAAUAACCUCAUCGAUUGACGUUACCCGCAGAAGAAGCGCCGGCUAACUCCGUGCCAGCAGCCGCGGUAAUACGGAGGGUGCAAGCGUUAAUCGGAAUUACUGGGCGUAAAGCGCACGCAGGCGGUCUGUCAAGUCGGAUGUGAAAUCCCCGGGCUCAACCUGGGAACUACAUUCGAAACUGGCAGGCUAGAGUCUUGUAGAGGGGGGUAGAAUUCCAGGUGUAGCGGUGAAAUGCGUAGAGAUCUGGAGGAAUACCGGUGGCGAAGGCGGCCCCCUGGACAAAGACUGACGCUCAGGUGCGAAAGCGUGGGGAGCAAACAGGAUUAGAUACCCUUGUAGUC
rnacentral:rRNA from 1 species